rnacentral:tRNA from 1 species
GGAGAUGAAAUGAGACUAACGGGGACUAUCCGUGACGAACCCUAACUUUCUUGAAAACCGUUUGGGGGAAACCCCACAAGGGUUCGAAUCCCUUCCUCUCCGCCA